UAUUCAGUAACUGCACUGCAGCAUAAUCUGAAAUGAUCCUGUCAGAUAUGCCAUUAUGUCCAGCUAUUUUUAUAGAAUAUGUAUUUUUUAUCUCAAGCAUUUACUUUGCGACCUGUUUUACUGAGGAAAACUAUUUUCAUGCCAAAGAUGCUUUGCAUCAGCUGUUCAUGCUUCACUGCUCUGAGAGUGUUUAUAGAGCUUCGAGUUUAGAGACACUUUAAAACUGAUAACUGACGAUAAACCUCAAAGUUAGAACUAUGAUUUCUGUCAUCCUUUGGUCACUGUGUUACAUUCAAGGUUCAGUGGGUCAGGUUGUGGCUCAGUCUGGAAAUCAAACAGUGGGGCCUGGUCAAACUGUUACUAUUGAAUGUAAACACACACCAAGAGUUAAUUGCUGGGAUUCAGAAGCAAGCAAAAAAUACUGCAUGUCCUGGUACCAUCAGAUUCCCGGAGAGGUUCCUAAACUCCUGAUGUAUUACACGUCAAAGAGAGCUUCUGAUGUUUCCUCUAGAUUCAGUGGCAGUGAGAGUGGAAACCAGAUUGAUUUUACUCUGACCAUCAGUGAAGUUCAGCCUGACGAUUCAGGAGAUUAUUACUGUAUGGGGGAACAUUUCAUUGGAGAAAAGGAGAAACGACAAUGGAGGUUCACACAGUGUUACAGCAUCAUACAAAAACCUCUCUUGUAAAGAUUAGUACAGCUUUAACUGUCACGACAAGGGGUGGUGAGGCAUGGACAGAGGACCCAGGUGCGGGUAAGGGGUUCACAAGACAUUUAAUAAUAAUAAAGACAAAACCAAACAACCCACGAGGGGGUAACAUAAUAAAACAGGGGAAUAUACAACAUGACAGGACUGGACUAAGACUAACUACACCUAACAAGACUAAGAUUAACAUAGACAUGAACUACAAAUCACUAGACUAGACUAGACUGACACGGAACAGGAACUCACCAUACAAAUAACACACACAAUGAACCAGCACAGGACAGAGAACAAAGGGGCAUUAAAUGGGGAACCAAAUCAAGCAGGGAACAGGUGAGGAGCAUGAAACCAUAACAAGAUAAUAAACGAGGUAACGAGAGGGCGGGGACAUAUACGAGACCAGAGAGAUUGUAUGGAAAGCCAUACGGGCAAUAAUGCCUCUCUCCACAUAAAACAUGAGGUUCUGUCAUGAUCCUGCCACUAGACCACGAGAAACAUGACAUGAUGCGGCAGAAUCAUGACAUUUAACUUACUGGAGAUUUAUUUAGUUCUGGCGAACUGUUACUGUUACUUUGUUUUCCAAAUAUAUUUUAUUUGUAAUUUUGAUUAAAAAAUGUAAUUACAUUGUGAUGCAUUAUCCUAGUUAUCUAGGUAUUAAUUUUUAUCUCAGGCAACUGAAAGGAAACACUCAUUUAAGCACAUGAAAAAUAGAAUUCAAAUCAGUCAUCCAGUCAAUUCUUAUUACCAGCAACAGUUAACACCCCAGAAACAAGCAUCUCCAGCAAUAUUUUAGGGUUUAGAUUGGAAAACACUGGUUUUGUAUAACACAUUUUAAACAUGCCCCCCCCCAAAAAACCCUUGAAAGCAAUAACACAAAACAU